CAUCCAGCUCCACUCCGAACCUGGAAAUUAAGCAGUCGCGGGCCACAUCAGUACUGGGCUGGGCGACUUCCCGGGAACGUGCGGUGCUUGCUUCUU
rnacentral:rRNA from 1 species